CAAUUCCUUCCUGAGAUUAUUUGAGAGAGGAUUUUCUGCAAGUUUUGUCUUUGAAAGCCUCAUCACUCCCCAUCUAUUGUGGUACUUGCGUACUUGCUGUGUGUGAUGAGAGCAAGGGAGAUUUCCACAUUUGGAACGGCUCCUGAGUGUCUCGACACAUCUUACCGAGCUCUCCCGAGGAUCAGUGGAACAGGCAGCUGCCUUCUUCAUCCCCUCUCAUGCUGAUACUUAAGCAGUUGACAACUUUCAUCCCAAGUCAAAGGCAGGCGAGGGGCAGAUCACUGAUGACUCUUCAUGCAAUGAGAAACACCUAACAAAAGAAUGUCUAUAAAUGACUAUCCUUUCCUAGGAUUUUAUAGAAUGUUUAGUACAAUAGUUGGUAACGUGUGAAAGCAACACACUUAAAAAGGAAAGCACAUAGUUUUAUAGCAUUGACCUUUUUCGCUGUAAUACAGGUUUUUGUAGCAAUUUGGUUGGAGAAAGCCAUGUAUCUGCUUCUUACCCUGAAACAAACAAAAAUAAAUGGACAGAAGAGUCGAUA